rnacentral:rRNA from 1 species
GGUUGGCUCAGAAGCAGCCAUCCUUUAAAGAGUGCGUAACAGCUCACUAGUCGAGUGACCCUGCGCCGAAAAUGUACCGGGGCUAAGCCUGAUACCGAAACUGCGGAUUGUAGGAAACUAUAGUGGUAGGGGAGCGUUGUAUACGAGCAGAAGCCGUACCGUGAGGAGCGGUGGAUUGUAUAGAAGUGAGAAUGCCGGUGUGAGUAGCGAGAUGUAGGUGAGAAUCCUACACACCGAAAGCCCAAGGAUUCCAGGGGAAGGUUCGUCCGCCCUGGGUAAGUCGGGACCUAACGCGAGGCCGAAAGGCGUAGUGGAUGGAAAGCAGGCGAAAGAUUCCUGCACCCGUAUAUGGAGCGAAGGAGUGACGGAGACGGAUAGUGUGACCCUCUUAAUGGAUUGAGGGCGAAGCGAAGCGGCUGGUUACCAGGCAAAUCCGGUAACCAAAAGGCUAGAGCGUGACAGGUAAGCGAAAUCUUAGGAAAGUAGCGAAGCACAUGAUGACGGCUUCCAGGAAAAGCUUCUGGCAAUGCAUAUGCGGCCCGUACCAAAACCGACACAGGUGGGCAGGGAGAGAAUCCCGAGGUGAGCGAGAGAACUGUUGCCAAGGAACUCGGCAAAAUGACUCCGUAAGUUAGCGAGAAGGAGUGCUUAAGCAAUUAAGCCGCAGUGAAGAGGCCCAAGCGACUGUUUAACUAAAACACAGCUCUCUGCGAAGUCGCAAGACGAAGUAUAGGGGGUGACACCUGCCCGGUGCUGGAAGGUUAAGAGGAUCUGUUAAGAGCGAUCUGAAGCAGUGAUCCGAAGCCCCAGUGAACGGCGGCCGUAACUAUAACGGUCCUAAGGUAGCGAAAUUCCUUGUCAGGUAAGUUCUGACCCGCACGAAAGGUGUAACGAUUUGGGCGCUGUCUCGGCAGCAGACUCGGUGAAAUCUUAGUACCUGUGAAAAUGCAGGUUACCCGCAACUAGACGGAAAGACCCCAUGGAGCUUUACUGCAGCCUGAUAUUGAAUUCUGGUCAUACAUGUACAGGAUAGGUGGGAGACAAAGAGACGUGCACGCCAGUGUACGAGGAGUCGACGUUGGGAUACCACUCUUGUGUGACCGGGGUUCUAACCUGGUAUCGAGAACAGGUACGGGGAGAGUGUCAGGUGGGCAGUUUGACUGGGGCGGUCGCCUCCCAAAGAGUAACGGAGGCGCCCAAAGGUACGCUCAGAUUGGAUGGAAACCAAUCGUCGAGUGCAAUUGCAGAAGCGUGCUUGACUGUGAGACAAACAAGUCGAACAGGGACGAAAGUCGGGAAUAGUGAUCCGGCGGUGCCGAAUGGAAGGGCCGUCGCUCAACGGAUAAAAGCUACCCUGGGGAUAACAGGCUGAUCUCCCCCAAGAGUUCACAUCGACGGGGAGGUUUGGCACCUCGAUGUCGGCUCAUCGCAUCCUGGGGCUGUAGUAGGUCCCAAGGGUUGGGCUGUUCGCCCAUUAAAGCGGUACGCGAGCUGGGUUCAGAACGUCGUGAGACAGUUCGGUCCCUAUCUGUUGUGGGCGAAGGAGAUCUGCGGAGAGCUGUCCUCAGUACGAGAGGACCGGGAUGGACCUACCGCUGGUGCACCGGUUGUUCCGCCAGGGGCAUAGCCGGGUAGCUAAGUAGGGAAAGGAUAAGCGCUGAAAGCAUCUAAGCACGAAGCCUACUCCAAGAUGAGAUCUCCCAUUCG